AGAACGAACGCUGGCGGCAGGCCUAACACAUGCAAGUCGAGCGCUGUAGCAAUACAGAGCGGCGCACGGGAUAAUAACGCGUGGGAACCUACCUUUCGGUUCGGAAUAACAUCGGGAAACUGGUGCUAAUACCGGAUACGCCCUUCGGGGGAAAGAUUUAUUGCCGAAAGAUGGGCCCGCGUUGGAUUAGCUAGUUGGUGGGGUAAUAGCUCACCAAGGCUACGAUCCAUAGCUGGUCUGAGAGGAUGAUCAGCAUCACUGGGACUGAGACACGGCCCAGACUCCUACGGGAGGCAGCAGUGGGGAAUAUUGCGCAAUGGGCGAAAGCCUGACGCAGCGACGCCGCGUGGGGGAUGAAGGCCUUCGGGUUGUAAACCCCUUUCAGCAGGGACGAAGCGAAAGUGACGGUACCUGCAGAAGAAGCGCCGGCUAACUACGUGCCAGCAGCCGC
rnacentral:rRNA from 1 species